rnacentral:sRNA from 1 species
CGGCAAAGCAAAAUAGACUUGAGUUUUCGUCGAUGUCGAACAAAGUAACAACUGUCGCAAUGCCAAUGGUUGAGGCGGCAUUUAGCGAAUGAACGAACGUUCGGUCAAAUACCGGAGCACAUGAAGAAAAAUCGCACAGAAAUAGAGGCAACUGCACACACACACACACACACACACUUGAACACUCUCGAAAGCAUAAAAGAAAAUACAUUUUGGUCGUGGACAAAAAUUGAUUGUGGAACAUUUGAAAUUGACUUUAGAGUGUAGUCUACUCCUCAGCGGCCCGGCCAAACGUUACUCAUUCCAACGGUAGAACGCGAUCGAAAGACGACAGCAGCCCGGGUCCAUUUAAAAAGAAAUUGCAAAAGGGGAAAUAAGAAUUCAAAAUUUUUAAAUUCAUAAAUGGCUGUCUAGUGGACCCAUUCGUAGCGAUGACCACCACCAUUAGCCAUAAUUGAUUGUGACGAUAAUCACAAUAAUUAUGAUGAUGAUGAUGAUGACGUUAAUGAUGCCGAUGAUUAAACUGUGAACGGUGGAGGUUCAAGUACCCACAAAAAAAAAAAACAAUAACAACAAUAUCAUCACCAUCUCAGUGAUCAAUAGUUGAGGGGUUUGCUUAUAAUCCGUUAGAAGUGAUCAUCAGUCCAUUAAAGCACGCGCAACGCUCAGUUCUCAUUUUAAGAAGAUUUGCUGAAAAUUUUGGAGAAGCACCCACUGCCAUCAGCCAGCCAAACACCAAUCAGUCAUACAGUCAACUGUCACCUUUCGCAACGACCAGAUCAAUUUAACGACUAAAUAACGAAUAUUGCAAAAAAAAAGAAAUUUGUGUUUUUUAAAGUUUUACUAAUACAGUGUUAAUACAACUGUGAUUUUGUGUUUGUUAAGUGUAUUUUUUAUGUUUCCUAUAACGACGUAACAAAAAUUAAUCAUCUUGGCCUACAAUAAAAGUGAACAUUUGGGAAAAUAUGUGAAAAUAAAUUAAAUCAUCAUUUUUAAAAAUAACUAAAAAUUAUACACACAACAAAAAAACAAAUAAA